rnacentral:rRNA from 1 species
GGGGGCGUUAUAGCCGCACGAGAAUGAGCAAUAACAGGUCUGUGAUGCCCUUAGAUGUUCUGGGCUGCACGCGCGCUACACUGUAGGAAUCAGCGUGUGUACCCUGUCCGAAAGGACUGGGAAACCCGUUGAACCUCCUACGUGAUGGGGAUUGGGGAUUGCAAUUAUUCCCCAUGAACGAGGAAUUCCCAGUAGGCGCGAGUCAUAAGCUUGCGUCGAUUACGUCCCUGCCCUUUGUACACACCGCCCGUCGCUACUACCGAUCGAGUGAUUUAGUGAGGCCUUUGGACUGGUCUUCGUGAUGGCUUUCGGGUCGUGGCGGAGUGCCGGAAAAAUGGCCAAAC